rnacentral:rRNA from 1 species
GUAGGGAAUCUUCCACAAUGGGCGCAAGCCUGAUGGAGCAACACCGCGUGAGUGAAGAAGGGUUUCGGCUCGUAAAGCUCUGUUGUUGGAGAAGAACGUGCGUGAGAGUAACUGUUCACGCAGUGACGGUAUCCAACCAGAAAGUCACGGCUAACUACGUGCCAGCAGCCGCGGUAAUACGUAGGUGGCAAGCGUUAUCCGGAUUUAUUGGGCGUAAAGCGAGCGCAGGCGGUUGCUUAGGUCUGAUGUGAAAGCCUUCGGCUUAACCGAAGAAGGGCAUCGGAAACCGGGCGACUUGAGUGCAGAAGAGGACAGUGGAACUCCAUGUGUAGCGGUGGAAUGCGUAGAUAUAUGGAAGAACACCAGUGGCGAAGGCGGCUGUCUGGUCUGCAACUGACGCUGAGGCUCGAAAGCAUGGGUAGCGAACAGGAUUAGAAACCCGAGUAGUCC